rnacentral:rRNA from 1 species
CAGUAGCCGCGGUAACACCAGCAGCCCAAGUGGUGGUCGCGAUUAUUGGGCCUAAAGCGCUCGUAGCCGGGCCGGUAAGUCCCUUGUGAAAUCGGACGGCCUAACCGUUCGGCGUGCAAGGGAUACUGUCGGUCUUGAGGCCGGGAGACGUCCGAGGUACUCCGGGGGUAGCGGUGAAAUGUUCUGAUCCUCGGGGGACCACCGGUGGCGAAGGCGUUCGACGAGAACGGGCCUGACGGUGAGGGGCGAAGGCUAGGGGAGCAAACGGGAUUAGAUACCCGGGUAGUCCCUGUCUCUUAUA